UCGGGAAUUUUGGGCAAUGGGCGAAAGCCUGACCCAGCAACGCCGCGUGAAGGAUGAAGUAUUUCGGUAUGUAAACUUCGAAAGAAUAGGAAGAAUCAAUGACGGUACUAUUUAUAAGGUCCGGCUAACUACGUGCCAGCAGCCGCGGUAAUACGUAGGGACCAAGCGUUGUUCGGAUUUACUGGGCGUAAAGGGCGCGUAGGCGGCAUGACAAGUCACUUGUGAAAUCUCUGGGCUUAACCCAGAACGGCCAAGUGAUACUGUCGCGCUAGAGUGCAGAAGGGGCAAUCGGAAUUCUUGGUGUAGCGGUGAAAUGCGUAGAUAUCAAGAGGAACACCUGAGGCGAAGGCGGGUUGCUGGGCUGAUACUGACGCUGAGGCGCGAAAGCUAGGGUAGCAAACGGGAUUAGAUACCCACGUAGUCCCUGAGCGGGCUGGCAAGGCGCAU
rnacentral:rRNA from 1 species